UUUCCGUAGGUGAACCUGCGGAAGGAUCAUUACUGAGUGAGGGCCCCUCGGGGUCCAACCUCCCACCCGUGUUUAACGAACCUUGUUGCUUCGGCGGGCCCGCCUCACGGCCGCCGGGGGGCGUCUGCCCCCUGGCCCGCGCCCGCCGAAGCCACCUGUGAACGCUGUCUGAAGUAUGCAGUCUGAGACAAUUAUUAAAUUAAUUAAAACUUUCAACAACGGAUCUCUUGGUUCCG
rnacentral:misc_RNA from 1 species